rnacentral:tRNA from 1 species
GCCCCCGUAGCUCAGCCUGGAUAGAGCACUGGGCUUCGGACCCAGUGGUCGCGGGUUCAAAUCCCGUCGGGGGCA